GGGCCCGCCGUUUCGACNGNCGCCGGGGAGGCCUUGCGCCCCCGGGCCCGCGCCCGCCGAANACCCCAACAUGAACGCUGUUCUGAAAGNAUGCAGUCUGAGUUGAUUAUCGUAAUCAGUUAAAACUUUCAACAACGGAUCUCUUGGUUCCGGCAUCGAUGAAGAACGCAGCGAAAUGCGAUAAGUAAUGUGAAUUGCAGAAUUCAGUGAAUCAUCGAGUCUUUGAACGCACAUUGCNNCCCCCUGGUAUUCCGGGGGGCAUGCCUGUCCGAGCGUCAUUGCUGCCCUCAAGCACGGCUUGUGUGUUGGGCCCCCGUCCCCCUCUCCCGGGGGACGGGCCCGAAAGGCAGCGGCGGCACCGCGUCCGGUCCUCGAGCGUAUGGGGCUUUGUCACCUGCUCUGUAGGCCCGGCCGGCGCCAGCCGACACCCAACUUUAUUUUUCUAAGGUUGACCUCNGGAUCAGGUAGGGAUACCCGCUGAACUUAA
rnacentral:rRNA from 1 species